rnacentral:rRNA from 1 species
AGAGUUUGAUCAUGGCUCAGGACGAACGCUGGCGGCGUGCUUAACACAUGCAAGUCGAACGGAAAGGCCCCUUCGGGGGUACUCGAGUGGCGAACGGGUGAGUAACACGUGGGUGAUCUGCCCUGCACUUUGGGAUAAGCCUGGGAAACUGGGUCUAAUACCGAAUAGGACCGCAUGCUUCAUGGUGUGUGGUGGAAAGCUUUUGCGGUGUGGGAUGGGCCCGCGGCCUAUCAGCUUGUUGGUGGGGUAAUGGCCUACCAAGGCGACGACGGGUAGCCGGCCUGAGAGGGUGUCCGGCCACACUGGGACUGAGAUACGGCCCAGACUCCUACGGGAGGCAGCAGUGGGGAAUAUCGCACAAUGGGCGCAAGCCUGAUGCAGCGACGCCGCGUGGGGGAUGACGGCCUUCGGGUUGUAAACCUCUUUCAGUAUCGGCGAAGCUCCAGGAUUUUUCUUGGGGUGACGGUAGGUACAGAAGAAGCACCGGCCAACUACGUGCCAGCAGCCGCGGUAAUACGUAGGGUGCGAGCGUUGUCCAGAAUUACUGGGCGUAAAGAGCUCGUAGGUGGUUUGUCACGUUGUCUGUGAAAACUCACAGCUUAACUGUGGGCGUGCGGGCGAUACGGGCAGACUGGAGUACUGUAGGGGAGACUGGAAUUCCUGGUGUAGCGGUGGAAUGCGCAGAUAUCAGGAGGAACACCGGUGGCGAAGGCGGGUCUCCGGGCAGUAACUGACGCUGAGGAGCGAAAGCGUGGGGAGCGAACAGGAUUAGAUACCCUGGUAGUCCAA